UGCCUUUGUGUUGCCCAUUUGCUAUUUUCUCCAGUGAAUGUGGUGUCAGAAAAGGCAUACAAUAACUCUAGCUGAUCUGAGUUCAAGAGCUAGUUAUUAGACCUUCCUCAGCACUGCAGCUAGAACAUGC